CCGUAAAUAAAUAUGAACGCUGCAGUGAGCUCUAAUGGAGCAUUUCAGCUCUGAAGUCUCUGAGCCUCCAAGGGAAAUGCUGCAAGGGGGUGCUGGAAUUGAGCCAUCAUCACAGAGUCAGUUCUCUGAAGUUCACAUACAAUCCUGCUAAAUUAUCAGGAAAACUGUGAUACAAACAUCAGUGCUUUCAAGCCUCAGUUUCCUGAUAUCAGAAAAGUCCUGCUGCUGAGCAGACACCAGCCUCUGUUGGCAGGAAGUCACUUACCUUGGUGUGAUUUUACUUGUGUGCUGUACCAGUGUCUCAGAUCACCUCAGAUGGAGCAGCAAAGUGUUUGGUCACCUCCCUUUUGGAAACCUGAGUAGGGCUGAGUUUAUAAGUUGACCCACAAGAUGGAAAACAAACUCUACUAUCUCUAACUCCAAGGAGUCAGUACAAUAUUUCACUGCUCAUUGUAAUUACCAAGAUAUUGGGUUUCUCUGCAAAAGUGUUGGACUGAGACCUUGAAAUAUGGGCAGGUGUCAGGACAGAUUUGGUCCCACAGUUCAGAAGAAGAUAUGUACAGUGGCUUGACAGUAUAACAGCACAACCUCUGGUGAGGACAAGGGACACAAGAGUUUAGGAAAAACUUCCUGGCCAAGAAGUGCUGUGGGAAUUCACUAGCAGGGUUCAGUCUUUAAAAGGAGGUCUGUGGCAGAGAUAGCAAAGGGAAUCUGCAGGCUAACCCUGGGCCAGGCAAUGGAUUAAUUCAGCCACCUUGUCAGCUCAGGGGUACAUUGUCAUCUGAGCAGCUACCAGCCAGACCAACCCAACACAGUGCUCCAACACCUCAUCCUCUGCAAGUGGAACUGGCUGCAAAACAACAUGCAAUGCCUUUGAGGGAGGCAUCUCAGAACCUGACACCUCCUAAGAGUUUGCUGUCAUUAGUUUACAUGCAGAGGAGGAGGCAGAAGGACAUUAGUAGGACUGAACACAGCAAAGUUCUGAUUUUGCUCGCUGUGUAUGCCUGGCCUCCAGGAGCAGGUGGCCUGGAUGGAUACAGCCUGCUGCCUCUUGAUGCUGUAGCUGCAUUCAGAGCAUUUGGGCCCAGGCUACAAGGUGACAGGAAGCUUAAAACCACCCAGUGUUAGGGGUUGCACUUACCUCAACCUACUUGGAAACAAAAGGGUUUGAAGCACUAAUUUUACUGAUGUUUUAGUGUGAAAUAACCCCACUAUCCACAUUACUUCAUCUUUCCUUUGUGAAAAGUUUCCAAUGGAAGAAAACCAGCUACUGUAUAACAACUUCCAACCUGAAAGAAACCAGUAACUACAACUACCUAAAAAUUGAAGUACUGGUAGUUAAUGCUGGCAGCAAGCAGCUUGACGCAGUUGGUUCUGCUUUCCACAUUACUUACACUGUAAUGGCCUUUAUACAAUAAUCCAGUGGUGAUUGUGUUGUCAUCCUUCCUAUAAUGAAGUGUUUGUCCUUACCAGCUGCACCUUAUAUAUGCUGUUAUAUUAAUUGAUCUGAAACUUUUUUAUAAAACUUGACCAGCAGAAUAUUUUUAAAAGCUUAAAUAUCUUUAAAAUAUUUGCACUAACUACUUCUUUGUGGCAUAUGCUUUCAUUUUUCUUUUAUCUGAAGAGACUCGUGAGUUGAGUUACUGACAGAUACAAAUUGUAAGGCAGACCUUGGUUUGACUGAAAUCAACAGCAAAACAUUAAACGACUUAAUUUUACCCCAGGGCAAGUAAAAGGCAGUUUGAAAACACUGUGCAAAGACCCAAAGGAUUAUAACUCCAGUAACAGAGUAGCUUAUGGGGUUUUGUCUGCAACAGAAAUUUAUAAAUAAUUCCAUCUAUGAAAAAGAAGAAGAAGAAAAGGUAAUUUCUGCUAUGGAAAGAUGUCCUUGUGGUUCGUAAGGAGCUGUCUCCCACCUACUGUCCUGGUAAAGAGUGUGUAGCAGCUGGAUAUUCUGGGAAACUGUAUGUAGCAUGGACUUUCUUCUUGGAUCUUGGCUUUCAAACAUGCUUGCAUUUUAAACUUUUUUCUUUUUUUUUUUUUUUUUUUAAUAAAACCUUUUACCCUUUUUUCACUUUGGGUGGUAGUUUUCCAGAGAUGAGUCAAACUACUGGCAAGAGGAGUGUUUAGAUAGUAUUUAGAAUUUUUGGAUGCAUAUUUUCCAGCUGUUUUGUUAUUUCUGAACUGUCAGCGACAUUUUAUUAAACUUUUAACACUUAAAAUGAAAUUUCAGUUUUACUGUAACAGUAAACACCCCACAAAAGCUGUGUUUUACAACAGCAAAAGUAGUUACUAAUGUAGAGAUUUACAAUGUGUCACUUUUUAAAAUGUCAAAUAACUUGUGUGUAUGUGCAUGUGUGUAUGUAUGUAUUCAGGACAUUAAUGCAUGAAUGGUUCUGUAAAAAGUGGCCUGGAUUUCAGUCUGAUUUUCAGUUGCUAUCCUCUGCUGUGAAUGUUGUAGCUAUUCUUGACUUAGGCUUCUAAAUGACAGGAAAAUUAUGCUACCUUUGUGUUAGAUACACAGAUAACUUCUAUACAGAGCUUAUCUGUGCCCUAAUGACGUCAAAAUUACCAGUGAAGAAGUAAUCAUCUCUCUGUAUCACCCAGCUCGAUUUCUAUUGAAGUGUUUGGAAGACCAAGGAGUUUCAUUAAAUACCAGCUGUUUGAAAAGCUGAAGCUGUCUUGAAUCGUCAAUGAUAUCACCAAUUUAGCACCUUCUAAUUAUCCUGAAAUACUCCAAAGAUCUGGUCAUUGUCUUUGCUCCUCCAAUUGCAGCACAUAAUAGACUUCGU